rnacentral:rRNA from 1 species
UACGUAGGUGGCUAGCGUUGUCCGGAUUUACUGGGCGUAAAGAGCGCGCAGGCGGUCGUUCAAGUCGAGUGUGAAAGCCCCCGGCUCAACUGGGGAGGGUCACUCGAUACUGAUCGACUCGAAGGCAGGAGAGGGAAGCGGAAUUCCCGGUGUAGUGGUGAAAUGCGUAGAUAUCGGGAGGAACACCAGUGGCGAAGGCGCUUCUGGCCUGUUCUUGACGCUGAGGCGCGAAAGCUAGGGUAGCAAACGGG